rnacentral:rRNA from 1 species
GUGGUAGGGGAGCGUUCUGUAAGUCUGCGAAGGUGUAUCGAGAGGUAUGCUGGAGAUAUCAGAAGUGCGAAUGCUGACGUAAGUAACGAUAAAGGGGGUGAAAAGCCUCCUCGCCGGAAGACCAAGGGUUCCUGUCCAACGUUAAUCGGGGCAGGGUGAGUCGACCCCUAAGGUGAGGCCGAAAGGCGUAAUCGAUGGGAAGCAGGUUAAUAUUCCUGCACGACUUGUAAUUGCGAUGGGGGGACGGAGAAGGCUAGGUGGGCCAGGCGACGGUUGUCCUGGUGAAAGUGCGUAGGUGGUGUUUCUAGGCAAAUCCGGAGACACAACACUGAGACACGAGACGAAGCCACUACGGUGGUGAAGCCAUUGAUGCCCUGCUUCCAGGAAAAGCCUCUAAGCUUCAGAUUACAAGUCAUCGUACCCCAAACCGACACAGGUGGUCGGGUAGAGAAUACCAAGGCGCUUGAGAGAACUCGGGUGAAGGAACUAGGCAAAAUAGAACCGUAACUUCGGGAGAAGGUUCGCUCUUGACAGUGAAGUCCCUUGCGGAUGGAGCAGUUGGGAGUCGCAGUGACCAGAUGGCUGGGACUGUUUAUCAAAAACACAGCACUCUGCAAACACGAAAGUGGACGUAUAGGGUGUGACACCUGCCCGGUGCCGGAAGGUUAAUUGAUGGGGUUAGCGCAAGCGAAGCUCUUGAUCGAAGCCCCGGUAAACGGCGGCCGUAACUAUAACGGUCCUAAGGUAGCGAAAUUCCUUGUCGGGUAAGUUCCGACCUGCACGAAUGGUGUAACCAUGGCCAUGCUGUCUCCACCCGAGACUCAGUGAAAUCGAAUUCGCCGUGAAGAUGCGGUGUACCCGCGGCUAGACGGAAAGACCCCGUGAACCUUUACUACAGCUUGGCACUGAACAUUGAACCUACAUGUGUAGGAUAGGUGGGAGGCUUUGAAGGCGUGACGCCAGUUGCGCUGGAGCCGUCCUUGAAAUACCACCCUUGUAUGUUUGAUGUUCUAACGCAGGGCCCUGAAUCGGGCUCGCGGACAGUGCCUGGUGGGUAGUUUGACUGGGGCGGUCUCCUCCCAAAGAGUAACGGAGGAGCACGAAGGUUGGCUAAUCCUGGUCGGACAUCAGGAGGUUAGUGCAAUGGCAUAAGCCAGCUUAACUGCGAGACGGACAGGUCGAGCAGGUACGAAAGUAGGUCAUAGUGAUCCGGUGGUUCUGAAUGGAAGGGCCAUCGCUCAACGGAUAAAAGGUACUCCGGGGAUAACAGGCUGAUACCGCCCAAGAGUUCAUAUCGACGGCGGUGUUUGGCACCUCGAUGUCGGCUCAUCACAUCCUGGGGCUGAAGUCGGUCCCAAGGGUAUGGCUGUUCGCCAUUUAAAGUGGUACGCGAGCUGGGUUCAGAACGUCGUGAGACAGUUCGGUCCCUAUCUGCCGUGGGCGUUGGAUGAUUGAAGGGAGUUGCUCCUAGUACGAGAGGACCGGAGUGAACGAACCUCUGGUGUUCGGGUUGUCACGCCAGUGGCACUGCCCGGUAGCUAAGUUCGGAAUCGAUAACCGCUGAAAGCAUCUAAGCGGGAAGCGAGCCCUGAGAUGAGUCAUCCCUGACCCCUUGAGGGUCCUAAAGGGCCGUUGGAGACCACAACGUUGAUAGG